rnacentral:rRNA from 1 species
UCAGGAGUGAACGCUGGCGGCGUGCCUAACACAUGCAAGUCGAGCGAUUACUUCGGUAAAGAGCGGCGGACGGGUGAGUAACGACGUGGGUAACCUGCCUCAUACACAUGGAUAACAUACCGAAAGGUAUGCUAAUACAGGAUAAUAUAAGAGAUUCACAUGGAUUUCUUAUCAAAGCUCCGGCGGUAUGAGAUGGACCCGCGUCUGAUUAGCUAGUUGGUAAGGUAAUGGCUUACCAAGGCGACGAUCAGUAGCCGACCUGAGAGGGUGAUCGGCCACAUUGGAACUGAGACACGGUCCAAACUCCUACGGGAGGCAGCAGUGGGGAAUAUUGCACAAUGGGCGAAAGCCUGAUGCAAGCAACGCCGCGUGAGUGAUGAAGGCCUUCGGGUCGUAAAACUCUGUCCUCAAGGAAGAUAAUGACGGUACUUGAGGAGGAAGCCCCGGCUAACUACGUGCCAGCAGCUGC